rnacentral:snRNA from 2 species
UGCGUUAUCGUCUUGAAACUGUUUAAGUACAGU